rnacentral:tRNA from 1 species
GAGGAUAGAGCUCAGUGGUAGAGCCCAUGCUUAGCAUGCACAAGGUCCUGGGUUCAAUUCUCAGUACCUCU